rnacentral:rRNA from 1 species
GGGUAGUUUGACUGGGGCGGUCUCCUCCUAAAGAGUAACGGAGGAGCACGAAGGUUGGCUAAUCCUGGUCGGACAUCAGGAGGUUAGUGCAAUGGCAUAAGCCAGCUUGACUGCGAGCGUGACGGCGCGAGCAGGUGCGAAAGCAGGUCAUAGUGAUCCGGUGGUUCUGAAUGGAAGGGCCAUCGCUCAACGGAUAAAAGGUACUCCGGGGAUAACAGGCUGAUACCGCCCAAGAGUUCAUAUCGACGGCGGUGUUUGGCACCUCGAUGUCGGCUCAUCACAUCCUGGGGCUGAAGUAGGUCCCAAGGGUAUGGCUGUUCGCCAUUUAAAGUGGUACGCGAGCUGGGUUUAGAACGUCGUGAGACAGUUCGGUCCCUAUCUGCCGUGGGCGCUGGAGAACUGAGGGGGGCUGCUCCUAGUACGAGAGGACCGGAGUGGACGCAUCACUGGUGUUCGGGUUGUCAUGCCAAUGGCACUGCCCGGUAGCUAAA